AUGGUCGCCGGGCAUGGUAUCCUCGCCGUGGUCACUGUCCUGCUCGUACUUCCGUCAGCCCGUCCUCUAGAGGACAGCACGUGCGACCCCAGCACCACCUUCGCGCCCAACAGCACCUAUCAGGCGAACCUGAACCUCCUCGCCGCGGCGCUCCCGGGCAACGCCUCCUCCGCGCCGGCCGGCUUCGCCACCCUCUCCGCCGGCACGGCGAGCCGGGCCUACGCGAUGGCGCUCUGCCGCGGGGACGUCAACGCCUCGUCCUGCGCCGCCUGCGUGUCGCUGGCGUUUCGCGCCGCCGGCCAGAGCUGCCCCAACAACACGGGCGUCACCAUGUACGAGGACGACUGCGUCCUCCGCUUCGCCAACCGCCAGUUCUUGGACUUCCUCAACGCCGACCAGUGGCAGGCCGGCGAACUCAGCAUCCAAACCACAACGGCUGACGGGAGCGUUCCGGCGGUCGCGGUUUCCUGGUUCAGCGCCGCGGCCACAACCAUCCUCACCGCCGUGUCUGCUGCUUCGAGCAACUCGACCUCCGGCGCCGGCGACGCCCAGAAGCAGUACUUCGUCACGGGCGAGGUUGACUUCGACCCCAGGAUCUACGCGCUCGCGCAGUGUGCGCCGGUCCUGACGCCGGAGCAGUGCAGCAGUUGCCUCGGGCAGCUCCUUGUGCAAAUCAAAGUCGAUCUGAGCACCAAACCCCCAUGGGUUACAUCACGUGUGGAGUGGUGCGACCUGAGGUAUGACGUGCGGCCGUUCUACGAGGGCCAGGCCAUGCUGCAGCUUCAGGCGCCACCUCCGCCGUCAUCUGCUACUCCGGAGACCCGAGCAGAGAAGAAAAAGAGUAGUGCAGUAGGGAUCUCUGUGGGCAUUGUUUGUUCGCUUGUAUUGAUAUUGAUCCUUUCGGCUUUGGCGUUCAUUCGCUUCAGGAGAAGGAUCAACAAGGCAACCGAGCAAGACAACCCAUUCAAGAAAAUCUCGAGAGCGCAGUGCGUGAUCUACGAUUUGCCUGCGCUGCAAGAGGCAACUGAUAACUUCUCGCAGAGGAAUAAGCUCGGAGAAGGUGGUUUUGGUGCUGUGUACAAGGGGAUACUCCCGGACGGGCAGGAAAUAGCAGUGAAGAAACUUCUGGGAACAGCUGGGCAUGGUUUGGAUCAGCUGCACAAUGAGGUGCUGAUGCUGGCAGAACUUCAGCACAAGAACCUUGUUCGGUUACACGGGUUUUACUCGCAUCGGGAUGAUACACUUCUUGUUUAUGAGUACAUCAAGAAUGGGAGCCUUGACAACUUUCUAUCUGAUGAUACCAGAGAGGAAGAACACACACUAGUUUGGGAGCAGCAGUACAACAUCAUCAUUGGCAUUGCCAAGGGAAUAUUGUAUCUUCACGAGGACUCGAGCAUGAGGAUUAUCCACCGGGAUCUGAAACCCAACAACAUACUUCUUGAUGACGACAUGGAACCGAAAAUUGCUGACUUUGGGUUGGCAAGGCUGCUUGGCGAAGGUCACACACAUACCAAGACAUCUGGAGUUGUUGGAACACUAGGUUACAUGGCUCCGGAGUACGCGAUACAUGGACGUGUGUCACCCAAGAUUGACAUUUUCAGCUACGGUGUAUUAGUCCUCCAAAUCGUUACUAGGAGAAGGGAGUGUUGGUCUGCAGAUGGCAACACUGUGAAUCUCCUCACUGAGGUAUGGAAUCACUGGAAAAAGGGAACAAUCUCGCAAAUGAUGGACCAAGCACUCGAUCAACAUACUCGAAGCCAACAGCUGCGAUGUGUGCACGUCGGGCUGAUGUGUGUCCAAGCAGACCCGGACCACAGGCCUGAGAUAUCGACCGUCAUUUUCAUGUUAACCAGGGACAACAUGGAGCUUCAGCUACCAAAGGAACCUGCAUUCUUCUUCGGGAGUGAGCCAACUUCUGAUUUCGUGUCGGGAGAGGACAUUUCUGUGAAUGAGGUUUCAUUUACAGAGCCGUACCCUAGGUAA
rnacentral:rRNA from 1 species